GACGAACGCUGGCGGCGUGCUUAACACAUGCAAGUCGAGCGGAAAGGCCCUGCUUUUGUGGGGUGCUCGAGUGGCGAACGGGUGAGUAACACGUGAGUAACCUGCCCUUGACUUUGGGAUAACUUCAGGAAACUGGGGCUAAUACCGGAUAGGAGCUCCUGCUGCAUGGUGGGGGUUGGAAAGUUUCGGCGGUUGGGGAUGGACUCGCGGCUUAUCAGCUUGUUGGUGGGGUAGUGGCUUACCAAGGCUUUGACGGGUAGCCGGCCUGAGAGGGUGACCGGCCACAUUGGGACUGAGAUACGGCUCAGACUCCUACGGGAGGCAGCAGUGGGGAAUAUUGCACAAUGGGCGGAAGCCUGAUGCAGCAACGCCGCGUGCGGGAUGACGGCCUUCGGGUUGUAAACCGCUUUCGCCUGUGACGAAGCGUGAGUGGCGGUAAUGGGUAAAGAAGCACCGGCUAACUACGUG
rnacentral:rRNA from 1 species